CUGCGCAGUUUCUGGAACCAAUUGUAUUUACCACACUCUCAACGAUUCCAUUAGACUGAGGGUGAUUUGGGCUGGAAGUCGUGUGUGACCUGUCACUCCU
rnacentral:lncRNA from 1 species